GUUGUUUAUAUAUUAAUCUAUUCAGAAGAUUUAUUAAUAGUUUUACAUUCAUAAUUUUUUUAAAAGUCCUAUCUACAUAAAGCUCCUCUUUUAACCGUCCUACGACCGAAAAAAAACAUUUUUCUGCAUAAAAGGGUCCCAAAAAUUUUUCGCCUUGCUCCGCUCGGCGGUAGUUGCUUGCACAUCGUUUAAUUCUAGCUACGCCCCUG
rnacentral:lncRNA from 1 species